CAAUUGUUAGGAGCUGCUGCCGGCGAAAUAUAUUUCCCUCGGUAAAUAUUUGGAUUUGUUUGCCGACAAUCUUAACAAAUUCCUCGGCAAUGGAAAAAAUUCCCCCCCGCCCCCCACAUCUCGCCUCACAGACCCGCCAGUGACACGGAAAAAUAAUUAAAAAACAGUACUUUCCCUCUUUUUUCUCUCCAUCUCCGUUGCAUCUCCUUCUCCUUUCCCUCUGUUUUUUUUUUUCUUCUGUCAAAAUCCACCGCAAACCCACUUUCUCCCUUGAAUCAAAUCAGCUGCUCAUCUCGAAAGGUUGCCGAUCGAUCUGCUAGUUGCCGUUCCGUUCUCGUUGUUGCCAUUCUGGUCCCGAUUGGGUUGUAGCCGUUUUGCAGGAGGCAUGGAAUUGAAAACCAACAUUGACUUGAAAUGCAAUUGCGAGGAGUGGGUCCUAAAGACUUUGUGGUAUAUGCAUCAAUUGAAUUAAUGUAGUCAACUCCUACUUCUAAAGUAUAUGUUUGCUGCCUAUUUUUUUCUAUUGAAGUUUGUUACGUUCCAAUAGUUCUGAUUUGAUCCAGUAAUGUCGUCAAACAAACAUGUGAAAGUAACUUGCUGACAGUUGUCUUGACUUCAUCCAUAAAAUAGUAUGUUAAAUGUGGGAUGUAGUGGAGGAAGAUUAUUAGAAUGGGCAUGCUGGCAGUUUCAUUGGCCUCAUGUAUUAUUGUUUAUGAGCAUCAAAGUGUCAAUAAAUAUUAUUCUUUAUAAGAGUUUCAUUGGACUAGGAUGGUUAGCAUAUUUGCUGACAAUCAGAAAAGAUGUUCUCAUUAGGAGCACUGAUACAUAAUAAUGAAUUACACGAUGACUGCAUCUGUAGCAGAGCAUUCAUGAACUGCUACUUACUGUGCCCAUAUGGCAGCAUUUUCUAAUACUUGCAAGGUCCCCAACGAAGGGUCUUGAUUGUCUCUUUGCUUCCCUCCCAUCAUGUCAUCUAUUUAAUUAAAAAAGAUAGAUUUGUCAUCAUGAUUCUCGUUUUAUUGUAAAUAUAUAUUUCUACCUACAUAUAAGACAACUUAUCCAUUUGGUAUGUAUGGGAGUUGGAUCUAUGUCAAUUAAUGAUUGACAAUUAAUGAUUGGUCAUUGUUGAAUUUGUCUUAUUCUACCUCUGUUUUUAUCUCCUGCUGCUGGUACUAUUUUCUCUCAACUAUUGUUGUCUGCCAUUUGCCACGGCUGUCAUUGUGCAUGCUACUCUCUAUGCCUUUUUGAAAUUCAGACUUGAUUAUGUAAGUUAGGUUUAAGCCGAAAUUUAAAAUACCCCUGUCUUGAAUGAUAAUGUGUAUAUGUAUGAUAUUAUACAGUUGAUGCUUAUGAUGAGGUGUAUGUAUGCAUGGCUAGAUGUGAUUAUUGUUCCUACUAACUGUUAUGUCUUAUUUAAAUUUGUUUAGGCACCAUCUCGAAUUGUAGAAGCAAGUGCAAAAGCAUUAAAAUUGACGGAUGCACUUUUAAUUAUUUCCGACCAAAACUGAUUCGUCACUAAAAUGUUUGCCGAUGAAAUCUUCUUGACGGCAAAGCCAUAAGUACCGACGAAAAUAAAUUCGUCGCUAAAACAACCUUCACUGACGAAUCAAUUUUGUUGGCAUUUCAAUUAUUGCCGAUGCAGUCUUGUUGUCGCUAGAGACCUUUUCCGACUAAUAUAUUAUUAUCGGCAAAAGUUAUUUCCGAGGAAAUUAGUUUUGUCACCAAAAUAUUUUACCGAGGAUUUUUUAUUUGUCGCAAAUAGUUAUUAGUGAGGAAAAUAAAUUUUUGUCAGCAAAAGUUUUUAUCGACGAAACAAAAUAUUUCAUUGGUAAAUACAAUUCAGAUGCUGUAUAGGCGAUGAAUCCAUCGAUGAAGUUAAUUUCGUCGGUAAAACAUUUACCGACAAAUUUUUGAUUUUUCCCGGCAGUAACGUUUUAUCGGCAAAAGGCGAUUUUCUUGUAGUGAUGGCAUAUGGAAGCUGAUUUGGAGCUCAAACAAGCUGAAAAUUGGUCAAAGAUACCUUAGUAGUCAAAUUAGUCAACUAGUUUCCUAAUUUGAUUUUGACUUUUUGUUUUAGGAAAUCAGUUUUAUAUUUGAUUUCUAUUUAUUUAUUUUCUGGAUAGAUUAACUUAGGAAAAUUAUUAUUUUAUUAUUUUCAUUAUAAAUUAAUUAAUUUCUAAUUCAAAAUAAAGAAAUUAAUUAAUCCAAAUUAGUUUAGGAAAGCAGGUGAAUUUCAGCCAACAUGUUUCUUUCUCUUAGGUGGCCGAUUUUAACGUAAAUUUUUAAGGUUUAUUGUUUUGUGAUUCUAGCAUAUUUAAGGGCUUAUUUUUUAGAAAGAAUACACCUUCAAUAAUAUUCAGAAAUUAUUUUGUGAGAUAGAAUUCUCUUCAUUCUCUUUGAACACCUAAAACACUAUUAGAGAAUGUGUGUUUUAGUUUUAACUUAUCAAUAAGGCAUCCAUAACCUAUUGUGACGUCUUCAUUAUAUUAAGGUUUCUAAUCACAGGUUGGUUAGGGGUUAAGGUUUCCAUAAGAAUUUGAACUUAAUUGAGGUCUGAGCUAAUAUAAUACGGGUAUAGGCGUGAGUCGACCUACAUUUGUAUCAUUUGGUACCAGAGCCAAAUUUUGUUCAGGUUUGAUCUAUCUUUAUUUGUUUUAUUUUUUUUUUGUUAUUAUGCUAUUUUAGCUUUAGGUUAAGGUUGUUUCUAUCAUCAUAUACGUUUUGCAUCUUAAAAAAAAAUAUUUUAUUUCUAGUCAAAUUAUGUUUUCCUUGUUUUACCAUAUUUUUGCUUCCUAGUUUGUUGGUUGAUUUUUCAUCUUUGUUCUUAGUAAUUUAGUUUAUUGUUGAUUUUUCUUUGCUAUUUUGAUCUUAAAUAUUUGCAUUUACAUAUCCAAAAAAAAAAAAAAAAGAGGAAUUACGGCAACAUAUAUAAAUUUACAAAAAUUGCAAAUUUGUAUUUUGUUUUUGGUGGUCACGGGUUUGGUGGCAUCUUGGUGUUGGAUUUGCAAUUUUGUUGUUAAUUCUUGCUACUGUAGUUGAGUUCAUAUCUGUGAGUAAAAAAAAAAAAAAAGCCGAAUAUUAAAAAAAAAAAAAUUAGUUUGUUGAAAUUUGGAGUUGAAUUUGGUUGCUUGAAAUUUGUUGGAGCUGCUGAGUUGUUGCUUAUUUAUUCAAUAUUUGAAGUUGUUGGAAAUUCAAUUUUUCUGCUGGAUAUUUGUAUUUUUGAGUGCAAAAUUAUUUGGAUUAAAAUUAGUUAAAGAAUUGGAUACAAAACUUGAAUUACAAAAAACAACACCAACAACUAUUCUAUAUUUUUGUUCAAUUUGAUUCUUGUUCGUGUUUGAAUUUCAUUCUCCAUAUUUUAUCCUUGAAUUAUUGGUUCAAUCAUCUUCUGGAUAGCUUUUAUUUCAUUCCAAAAAUUUGCUUGUUGAUUUACCUUGUUUUAGCUUAGAAAAGCCGAGAAUAGGUAUUUUCAUUCCGCUCGGUAUUUGUUUGUUUUAGUUGAUGUUUUGUUGAUAAGUUUAAUUAGAACAUACUUGUGAUCUAGUUGCUGUUUUGUGUGUGUUUUAAUUAGAAUUUUGAGAUAAUUCUUUGAGUAGAAAAAGACAAGAGCGUGUAAGCUUAAAAGAAGGUAAAAGCCGAAACUAGUGUGCAAACACGAGUGUCGAGACUUUAUUUGAGUGAAACAUAUGAGAGAGUGAAUUUGGCGAGGAUUUAUUUUAUUUUUGCAAUAUAUUUACUAACAUGGCAGAUUCAAGGAUGAGAAGAGGAGUAGGAGAUGGCUCAUUAAGAAUUAAUGAAGAGGAAUCCGUAGGAUUCAAGGGUGACUCCCGAGCUACGGGGAGUGUAGAUGAGCGCACAGACAUGAUGGUGGUCUUGGAGCAAUUAUAGUAGAUGAAUGCUUGAUUUGAUCAUAUAGAUCAAAGGAUUGAUAGGUUAGAGAGUUCACAAGUGGGUCGAAUCUUAGGCAAGAGUUUCAUGGUGGCCGAGGUCGAGGUCGAGGAAGUCGUGGACGCCAUAGGGAGGAUUUUGAAGAAGGUAACUUUGGAGAUGAUUUUGAAAAGGAAGUUGAUGAAAUUUUUGCUUACCAAGGAAGGCAAAAUCACGGGAGACCAGCAAGGGAAGAGGAUAAUGAUCUUGGAAAUAUUAAGGUCAACAAACCAUCUUUCAUGGGCAAAAGUGAUCCGGAGGCAUACUUAGAGUGGGAGGAGCGUAUGGAGAUGAUCUUCGAUUAUCACAACUCUCUAAAGACUAAGAAGGUAAAAGUGGUAGCAAUGGAAUUUGGACAUUAUGCACUUCAAUGGUGGACCAAUGAGAAAAAUAUCCGAAGGAGAAUAGGUGAUGAAUUGAUUUCUACUUGGCGACAAAUGAAAGGAGCCAUGAGGAAGCGAUUUGUACCAACUCAUUACCAUAGGUUGCUACAUCAAAGAUUUCAAUCAUUAUCAUAAGGAAAUAGGUCAUUGGAGGAUUAUUACAAAGAGAUGGAGAUACUCAUGAUGAGAUUGAGCAUAAAUGAAGAGAGAGAAGCAACUAUGACAUGGCUUCUAGGUGGGUUGAAUCAUGAGAUAGCUAAUCAAUUGGAAUUGCAACAAUAUGUUGAAUUGGAAGAGAUGUUGCAUGUGGCUAUCAAACUUGAGAAUUAAUUUAAGAGGAGGGUCACAAGUACAUGGUUUAGAGGAGUUUUAAACAGUGGGAGGUUAAAUCCAAGUGCUUGGAGAAGCAAUCCCACCUUGAAGCAAGAAAAAAGCCGAAACUUGGAGAAGAAAGCACCACACGGCUGAAAAUGGAGUCCGAAACCAAAUCUGUCCAAGCACACAAAAGUGAAGGUAAAUUCAAUUCUAAACCUUUUAGAACUUGUGAAAUUGUGUGUUUUAAGUGCCAGGGAUGGAACACAUCGCUAGACAAUACCCGAAUAGAAGAAUUAUGGUGCUAAAAGGUAAUGACGAACUAGAAUCUGCAAGUGAAGAAAGUGAAAGAGAAGCCGAAUUUGAUGAUGAAGUUGAAGAUGAUGGGCAUGAUGAAUCCGAAACACUCAAAGUAUCUAGGGCUGAAUUGAGUUUGGUAACAAGGAGGGUUCUAACAGUAUGCAAAGAUGAUGACCAAAUUUAAAGAGAGAACAUCUUCCACAUCCGACGUGAAAUUCAAGAUAACAUUUGUAGCAUGAUAGUUGGUAGUGGGAGUUAUGCCAAUGUAAUUAGUAAUUUGGUAGUUCAUAAAUUAGGUUUAGCAACCAUUAAACAUCCAGAACAAUAUAGAUUACAAUGGCUUAAUGAUAGUGGUGAGAUGAAAGUAAAUAAAUAAGUGAAAGUAAAAUUCAACAUUGAUAAUUAUGUGGAUGUUGUAUUUUGUGAUGUUGUUCCUAUGCAUGUGGAUCAUAUUUUGUUGGGUAGACCAUGACAAUUUGAUAAAGAUGCUAUACAUUAUAGGAGAGAGAAUUCCAUUGUAUUUAAAUUGAAAGGGAAAAAGGUUAAACUGGAGCCAUUAACCCCAAAAAAAGUAUUUAGAGAUCAACUUCAAAUACAAUAAAGGAAAGAGGCCGAAAAGCUUAAAGAAAAGAUUAAUAUGGCACCCAUAGCUUCAACAAAUAUUCAAGGGAACGAGGCCAUGCAAGAACAACCAGGUAAGUGUCCUAAACUCAAUAGUGAGGGGAAAAACAAUGAUAAAGCUGAGAGUGAGAAGAAACUUGAAAAAGCCGAGAAUGAGAGAAAACAAAUGGAACCAGUAAAUGUGAAAGAAAAAGAGAUUUUUUUUUUAUCUUAGCUUAGGUGAGCUUAAAAAGGCAUUUGUGAGUAAUAAACCUAUGCUAGUUAUGAUUUAUAAAGAUGCUUAGUUAAAGAUGUUUUUGUUAUAUAGAACUUUAUUUGCAUUGUUGAAAGCUUGACUUAGUGGAAAUUUGAAAAUUUAGGAGAGAUUAUUUGUUAACUUUAAAAAGUAUGAUUUUUGUAAAGAUAAAUUGGUAUUUCUAGGAUUUUUUGUUAUAGUGUUUGAUCCAGGAGAUUUGGUUUGGUGCACUUAAGGAAUGAGAGGUUCCCGAACAAAGGAAGUCCAAGCUUAUGCCGCGUGGAGAUGGACUCUUUCAAGUUUUGGAGCGGAUUAAUGAAAAUACUUAAAAACUUGAUUUACCGGGCGAGUAUAAUAUCAGUGCUACAUUUAAUAUUGCUGACUUAUCUCCUUUUACUGUAGGUGAUGAUUUUGAUUUGAGGGUAAAUCAUUUUCAAAAAGAGGGGAAUGAUGAGAAUCCGCCCGCGCCUGCACAACUGAUAACCCGCUGGGGUGCAGAUCCGAUACACAUGAAGAUCGGUUGAAUCACUAGAGCUCAAGCCAAGAGAUUUAAGGACAACCUGGUUGCUAUUAUACAGGGAGUAAUUAAUUCUCAAAAGGGCUUUGUCAAUAUCCAAAUAUACAAAGUCCAUUUUAAGCAUCCAAGUGGCAGAAGUCGUUACGAACCAUGGUAGCUGUUUUAGUGCAAAUAUGGAUUCUGGGUAGCAACGAAUGGAUCCAACACUUCUUGGAUUCAAUGGAUAUCACCAAGAGACCAUAGAAUCAUGUUAAGGUAGAAUCAAAAGUAUCUAAAACCAGCUUGUAUGGACAACAUCUCAAUUUGACCGAAAAUGUGCUAUUUAACUAUUGGCUUUGAUUUUUCUUCU